rnacentral:rRNA from 1 species
UGGGGAAUUUUGGACAAUGGGCGCAAGCCUGAUCCAGCAAUGCCGCGUGCAGGAAGAAGGCCUUCGGGUUGUAAACUGCUUUUGUACGGAGCGAAAAAGCUCUCUCUAAUACAGGGGGCUCAUGACGGUACCGUAAGAAUAAGCACCGGCUAACUACGUGCCAGCAGCCGCGGUAAUACGUAGGGUGCAAGCGUUAAUCGGAAUUACUGGGCGUAAAGCGUGCGCAGGCGGUUUUGUAAGACAGGCGUGAAAUCCCCGGGCUCAACCUGGGAAUGGCGCUUGUGACUGCAAAGCUGGAGUGCGGCAGAGGGGGAUGGAAUUCCGCGUGUAGCAGUGAAAUGCGUAGAUAUGCGGAGGAACACCGAUGGCGAAGGCAAUCCCCUGGGCCUGCACUGACGCUCAUGCACGAAAGCGUGGGGAGCAAACAGGAUUAGAUACCCUGGUAGUCCACGCCCUAAACGAUGUCAACUGGUUGUUGGGUAUUUACUUACUCAGUAACGAAGCUAAC